CCCCCCCCCGGGGGUGGUUUAAGCGCCGUCACGACAACAAAAAUCUCCCGUGGGCUUGCGGCAGAGCCAUCGCCUCGAACGUCGAGGCCCAUUUUGUUGGCGAUCUUUUUUGUUGUUCGUUACGGCGGUAGACAGCGACCUUCAACGUCAGUAGCAACAAUAGAAUACCUUCAUUGUUAUCAGCAGCAGCUGCAGCCUUGCUCCAUCCACUGCUGGGCGAAGGUCAUUGUAUACAUUCAUUAUCAUACCUUCAACGUCAGUAGCAACAAUAGAAUACCUUCAUUGUUAUCAGCAGCAGCUGCAGCCUUGCUCCAUCCACUGCUGGGUGAAGGUCAUUCAUCAUCAUCAACAGCCUUGCUCCAUGCUGGGCGAAGGUCAUUGUAUACAUUCAUUAUCAUACCUUCGACGUCAAGUAGCAACAAUAGAAUACCUUCAUUGUUAUCAUCAGCAGUUGCAGCCUUGCUCCAUCCACUGCUGGGUGAAGGUCAUUGUAUACAUUCAUUAUCAUACCUUCAACGUCAGUAGCAACAAUAGAAUGCCUUCACCAGCAUCAGCAGCCUUGCUCCGUCUACUGCUGGAUCAAGGCCCUGCCAAAGCCGCUCACGAUCCUGCGACGCGAUAAUCCAGCCAGCCGCCGGCGGAGCGGGACGAUGAUUCCAUCGCUCCGUCUCCGCGGUUUUUCACGUCCCAUCGGACGCGUUCCACUCCUCGACUGGGCACUCUGUCGUUGUUGUUUUUCUUCUUCACCUGCCGGACAUCGCCCCCCCCCCCCCCCACUGCGCCCAAGCACCGCUCACCUCGCCCAGCAGCUCGGACGAUGUCGUUAACCCCCACGUGCUUCUCUCGCCCCUCUCCUCUGCUUCUCAACAUCGUUCCAACCACGAGGUCGGGUCUGCACGUUUCUACGUACAGGCAGUCCCCGAGUUACGGACGGGUUAGGUUCCCCAGAACGAUCCGUAACCCGGGUUUUUCCGCGAUGUUCGGAAACGGAACUAAAUCCUUCCCCCCCCCCCCCCAAAAAAAAGAAGAUAAAAUCGCAUUGCCGGAAAUAGUUGUGCCUCAAUCUUGAUUUGAAAGCUUUCGUUGCCCGCAGGAAUCCAUACUCUUUGCUUCUUUCGGUAAAGUCACGUAGGUGGAAAGUCAAAAUAAAUCACGACGUUUCGAUCGCGACACAAGCGACCGUCAUCAGGUGAGACAAUCACAGCAGGGAAACUGCUGGAACGGGUUGCGCCUCGCCUGCCCGAUUGCUGCUUCGCUUUCUCUCAAUACCGGCGAUUUGGCGGAGCGAGGCAUAAGGCAAGGGCCGCCUUACGCCUCGCUCCGCCGGUAUUCACCCGCAACAUCACCGCGCUGCGUUGCUCGCGCUCACGUGACUAGCGCAAACCUUUGCGCAUGUUUAAAUGUUCACAUUUAAAUGUGUUUGUUUUU